rnacentral:rRNA from 1 species
GUGUCAGCAGCCGCGGUAAUACGUAGGGGGCAAGCGUUGUCCGGAUUUAUUGGGCGUAAAGAGCGUGUAGGCGGCCUAGUAGGUCAGCUGUGAAAACUCGAGGCUCAACCUCGAGCUGUCGGUUGAAACCACUAGGCUAGAGUCCGGAAGAGGAGAAUGGAAUUCCCGGUGUAGCGGUGAAAUGCGCAGAUAUCGGGAAGAACACCCGUGGCGAAGGCGGUUCUCUGGGACGGUACUGACGCUGAGACGCGAAAGCGUGGGGAGCGAACAGGAUUAGAUACCCUGGUAGUCC